CUGGCUCAGGAUGAACGCUGGCGGCGUGCCUAAUACAUGCAAGUCGAGCGAACGGACGAGAAGCUUGCUUCUCUGAUGUUAGCGGCGGACGGGUGAGUAACACGUGGAUAACCUACCUAUAAGACUGGGAUAACUUCGGGAAACCGUAGCUAAUACCGGAUAAUAUUUUGAACCGCAUGGUUCAAAAGUGAAAGACGGUCUUGCUGUCACUUAUAGAUGGAUCCGCGCUGCAUUAGCUAGUUGGUAAGGUAACGGCUUACCAAGGCAACGAUGCAUAGCCGACCUGAGAGGGU
rnacentral:rRNA from 1 species